AACGAACGCUGGCGGCAGGCUUAACACAUGCAAGUCGAACGCAUCCUUCGGGGUGAGUGGCAGACGGGUGAGUAACGCGUGGGAACGUGCCCUUCAGUUCGGGAUAACCCAGGGAAACUUGGGCUAAUACCGGAUACGUGCGAGAGCAGAAAGAUUUAUCGCUGAAGGAUCGGCCCGCGUCUGAUUAGCUAGUUGGUGGGGUAAUGGCCCAGCAAGGCGACGAUCAGUAGCUGGUCUGAGAGGAUGAUCAGCCACAUUGGGACUGAGACACGGCCCAAACUCCUACGGGAGGCAGCAGUGAGGAAUAUUGGACAAUGGGCGCAAGCCUGAUCCAGCCAUGCCGCGUGAGUGAUGAAGGCCUUAGGGUUGUAAAGCUCUUUCGUCCGGGACGAUAAUGACGGUACCGGAAGAAGAAGCCCCGGCUAACUUCGUGCCAGCCGCCGCGGUAA
rnacentral:rRNA from 1 species